rnacentral:lncRNA from 1 species
CACCUCUCUUCAUCAAAGUCCAUGAAAAAGUACACGAUCGAAUGCUAUACUGCAUAGGAGUUUUUAAAUUUCUUUAUAUCACUUUCAGGGUAACCAAAUGUACAUCAGCUAGAAAUGCUCUGUCCUUUGGCUGUGGUGGUUUAACAGAGGAAUCAGGAGCAAAUUCUGUAGCUUCCGUUAGACAAUGUAAAGAGAAACUUUCUCCCAGCCAGUACUGGCCUGCCAUCUACUUCAAGAAAGUACUUAUCUCUGGGAGCAGGUCAGGAAGGAAACCAUAAAUAUACACUUGAGGAUCUUGUCAAGUUAAAACUGGGAGACAAAGAACGAGCCUCUGCUGGUGUUGCAGUGCAUUCCAGAAACACCCAGUGGUUGGCCAGCUGUGUGUACCCCAUACCAGAACAGAGAGAGAUUACUCCCGACUGUUACCUUUUAAAUUUAUGGAUCCAUUUCCCCUGUAGCUUUGCCAUUACUGCACUUUUCUAUAACGUUCAAAGAGAGAGGACUUUGCAUUUCAAGUGAAGAAAGGAAAAGCCGUCAAGUUCCUUCCUGGGAAGUAUCUGUUGACCCCCAGUUGGCCCAGAAGCAUGUGCAUGGAAGCAGCAGGGUUUUACAGCACAGGAAGUCAAAUCAAUAGAGAGUCUGUUUCAGAAUUAGCAAACAAAGAUUUAACUCAUAUAAACUUCAUAUCCAGAGGCAUCUGUAAAAGGAAAUGGAAAUUAUUAGACAGCUUUAACGACAACAGAAACUGCUGUUUUCCUUAUAGUCUUUGUAUGCUGUAGUCACAUGUACAUGCUUAUACUUGUAUACUUAACAUUCUUGCUCUCUUACCUUGUUCUUUGUACAGAAAGAAGACCACACACAGAAAAACUGUGUGUUGCAAUAGCAACAUUUGAAAAGGCUGUACUUGAGAUCUAGUAACCCUCUGUGGCAUGUAGCUAGAAAGCUGCUGAACAGAAGGUCAAACCAAAAAGUGAGUGCAACAGACCUGGGGGACAGGAAGAUGCAAAGAUGCACCCUGCUGCUCCCAGGCUGACCUGGGACAACUCUCCACCUGCAGCCCAGCUCUGACACAUGAAGGAGCGGUUCUGGACAGCUUUUAAGCAGAGCUGUUUCCUUGCUGCUAUGGGGGAUGCUGUUGUACUUGUAACCUUGAAUCACAAAGGAAGAAGAUGGAUGGGGACUACAAGGAGCUAGACAGUGAGAACUUCUUUGGAAGAGACUGAAGAACAUAUAGGAUUCAUACAGAAAUGCAUCGAGC